AAAAAACCCCCAACUUUCAAUUUUUCCUAAUUUUCCCAUGAUGGGUUUUCCGGCCAAAUUCGAUCACACGUGGAAUCGGAAUUAAGUGACGUGGACACGCCGGAUUGUUAAUAAAACGACGUAGUAUCUAUUAUACAUAAACGACGUCGUUUCGUGCUUGUUAUUCUUCAAUUUGUCGCCGUUCUGCCACGUCCACCACCUUCUUCUUAAAGUCCGAUCGCCGCCGCUCAUCUCCUCCAAAAAACCGGCAGGCUACCGCCUUCAUCCCUGUCUGUUACAGAUCCGACCUCAGAACCCUUCUCUCUGACCCACGUUUUCAGAGUUGCAGCUAGGGUUUUGCCCCCUUUUCGCGCCGCCUAGGGUUUGCGCCGUAAAUAGCAGCGUCGCCCUGACUUGCUUCCUCCGGUGAGCCUCUGUCUCCCAGUCACGCCGCCUAACGCCCCGAGCCUCUUCAAAUUUGGUAUCUGAGUGGAGGAGGGGGAGGAAGUGGGUUUUCAAACGUGGGUUUUCAAUCGGCGCCGGGAAUCGAGUGGAGGAGAGAGGGAGGGGGAGGGAGGAGGAAGUGGCGGCGGUGGGGGAUGGGGGAAGGGGGAGAGUCGAC
rnacentral:lncRNA from 1 species